GACGAACCGUCCAAACGUUAUUCGGAAUUACUGGGCUUAAAGGGUGCGUAGGCGGUGCGGUAAGUUGGGUGUGAAAUCCCUCGGCUCAACCGAGGAACUGCGCCCAAUACUGCCGUGCUGGAGGGAGAUAGGGGUAAGCGGAACUGAUGGUGGAGCGGUGAAAUGCGUUGAUAUCAUCAGGAACACCGGUGGCGAAAGCGGCUUACUGGAUCUCUUCUGACGCUGAUGCACGAAAGCUAGGGGAGCGAACGGG
rnacentral:rRNA from 1 species